rnacentral:rRNA from 1 species
GAUAAACGCUGGCGGCGUGCCUAACCCAUGCAAGUCGAGCGAUUUGUAGCAAUACAGAGAGCGGCGGAAGGGUGAGUAACACGUAGAAAUCUACCUCGACGGAGGGAACAACCCCGCGAAAGUGGGGCUAAUACCCAAAGGAUCCGCAAGGAUCAGAGUCGCAAGGCCUGUCGAGAGGAAUCUGCGGCCCAUCAGCUAGUUGGUGAGGUAAUGGCUUACCAAGGCUACGACGGGAGGGGUCUGAGAGGACGUCCCCC